UUUUAUUUGAGAGUUUGAUCCUGGCUCAGGAUGAACGCUGGCGGCGUGCCUAACACAUGCAAGUUGAGCGAUUUACUUCGGUAAAGAGCGGCGGACGGGUGAGUAACGCGUGGGUAACCUACCCUGUACACACGGAUAACAUACCGAAAGGUAUGCUAAUACGGGCUAAUAUAUUUGAGAGGCAUCUCUUAAAUAUCAAAGGUGAGCCAGUACAGGAUGGACCCGCGUCUGAUUAGCUAGUUGGUAAGGUAACGGCUUACCAAGGCGCCGAUCAGUAGCCGACCUGAGAGGGUGGUCGGCCACAUUGGAACUGAGACACGGUCCAAACUCCUACGGGAGGCAGCAGUGGGGAAUAUUGCACAAU
rnacentral:rRNA from 1 species